rnacentral:tRNA from 1 species
GCCUGGAUGGCUCAGUCAGUUGAGCGCCUGACUUCGGCUCAGGUCAUGAUCUCACGGCUCUGGCUCGUGAGUUCGAGCCCCACGUCGGGUU